AGCAGCCGCGGUAAUUCCAGCUCCAAUAGCGUAUAUUAAAGUUGUUGCAGUUAAAAAGCUCGUAGUUGAAUUUCGGGGUUAGUAGGUCGGUCAUGCCACUGGUAUGUACUGGUCUCACUGAUUCCUCCUUCCUGAUGAACCGUAAUGCCGUUAAUUUGGUGUUGCGGGGAGACUGGACUGUUACUUUGAAAAAUUAGAGUGUUUAAAGCAGGCUAACGCUUGAAUACAUUAGCAUGGAAUAAUGAAAUAGGACGUUCGAUCCUAUUUUGUUGGUUUCUAGGAUUGACGUAAUGAUUAAUAGGGAUAGUUGGGGGCAUUAGUAUUCAAUUGUCAGAGGUGAAAUUCUUGGAUUUAUUGAAGACUAACUACUGCGAAAGCAUUUGCCAAGGAUGUUUUCAUUAAUCAAGAACGAAAGUUAGGGGAUCGAAGACGAUCAGAUACCGUCGUAGUCUUAACCAUAAACCUAUGCCGACUAGGGAUCGGAUGAUGUUAAUUUUUAAUGUA
rnacentral:rRNA from 1 species